CUUGCACAGUGUACGUAUGUUUAUGCCACGUGUUUAUAGUUUGGACAACUUCCUAGUGUAAUAUCUUUAUGCUCGUUACGCGGCAUUAUGUAAUAAGUCGUGGAGAUAACCUAACUCGAGGUUAUAUCGAUAUCCAGAAUGGAACGUGUGGUAACUAAAUGAAAAAUUCCUUAUCACCGGACAACGUCGAUAUCGCGGUCGUUUGUUGCCACUGGCGAUAUCGACUCUAGUAUCGAAUUAUCGACGUAGCAAUUAGAGUACAAUGAGCAAUAUUUGGGAAAAAUGUUAUCCACGUCGACGAAAAAUAUAAGCAGGGGAAAUAUAACGAAUGUUUUAUCUGGCGAGAAUACGUUCGAUAAAUAACUUGAUACUGUUAAACAAAACGAGGUGGCAUGGAGUACACCAUGAAAUACGUGAAAAUUGGUGCCACGUUUAUUAUGUCAGAAUUUAUAUGCGAGUUUGACACGAGCACAACGACACCGAACAAUAAACAUUAAGCGCGCAACCAGUUACAAACUGGAAAUCGAACAAAAUUCGGAACGUUCUGUCGAAAAGACAGAUUGGAUCAAAUAUCGCACCCAUUUUCAAUUCGUCUCUGAAAAUAUUUCUGGAAUAAUAUUCCCAUAGGUAUUUCAGAGGCAGCAGCUGGUUAUUUACGCGAAGGCUUACAAACCGAGCGUGGACUACGUGGGUGGCAGAGGAUUUACAUGAGAAAUUUCGCUAUUUCUAUCCCUAUCCACCGUUUUAUGGCUUUCUCUCGUGUCGGAUCUAUAUUUUACGAUCGUCCGCCCAUUCGCAUCACAAUUGAACUUUCACAAUGGCCUUUUUCUUAAUGAUCUACAUCAUACGCACUAAUGCACUCAUGUUGCAGCGCAACGACGCGAUUAUAAAGUCAUCGAGUCAUUUAAGAAUAGCGUGGUAUCGCGGAAGAGUUAUUUAGGAAAAUCCCGAUGAACUACAAUGCAGGGAAAAGUGGAAAUGCUGACGGGUCGGGAAAGAUAGGAAAUCCUAAUGGGCCAUAUGGCCAAGUAAUAUGCUCGUAGCCCUUUAUAGACAAUAGGUAAUUGAAAAAGGUACGCGUAAUCAUCUUGGGUCAUCAACAGCUGUGACACACGUGUGCGAGGUAGAAGUAUUAAAAUUAGUAUAAAAGGACGUUUUGAUGGAGAAAGUUAGUUAGUCGUUAGUUGGAGUAGAUCAUGGGUUGUGAGUUGUCAUUCAAAAGUUGACUAGUUGUAACAAUUUAGUUGUUUUAAUUGCAUUACAUUAAUACGUUAAGAAAUAGCUCAUGGUUUCCUGUUUCAUCAUUAUACAUAAAUCUAUCAUUAUAAAUAAAUUUAUCAACGACGUGGAACUUUUUAGAAUUAGCGUACUUCUAUUCCUUUCUUUAAACUUAGCGCAAUUAGCCAGACACUUUAACGUAGCGUGAGGUCAUCUUAGGGCCUGUUGCUACUUGUGUGAGCUCUUUGAAACACGCACUCAUCAAUUGCUUCUUUCCCAAAUCGAGAAAUUCCUGUGUCCACCCCCCAGCAAUUUGCCUAACAUUGAACAUCGUUUCUAUCGUUCUAUAAAUUUUCUUUUCUUUUUUUUUUUUUAGUACAUGCGCAUUUCCUCUACAAGUCUACGCGCUUAUGCUGAGUUUCUCCGUACUAUUCGUACGCUUUAAAGAGACUCGAUCGCAUUAAGCUGCAAUUCGAAGCAAUCGAGUAGAAGUUCGCCUGAACGAUCUCUCGCACUACAGUAACUCGCGUGACGUAAGAAUGCAUCUUUAAUUAUUAAAGCUUGUUUUUAAUAAAGCUAAGAGGAUAAAUGGCCAACGCGUCAACGUGGCAAUGUGUAAAAAUUUAAAGAAGAGGAAGGAAAAUUCCGAGUAAUCAGAGUAAAUCAACUAGAUAUCACGAUCUCCGCCGUUUCUUUGAAACGUAUAAAUGAAUAUGUAAGCGAAGUACUGUGCAAAUGCUUAGAUCAACUAAACAUGCUUUCAGGAUACACUCCCCUUAUAGUACUGCUUAUUUAUGGUUUCUCUUGGCUCAUAAAUUUUUGAAGAUACUGCAAUAAAUAGAGCUCUGAUUUAAUAAUAAAUGUUGUAGAAUAUGUAUAAGGUUAUAUAGAGAAAUGGAGAUGAGAAACGUGAAUCAGUUUCGCGAAAUGAAUAAAGAAUAGCGGCAAAUAUACGAACAGGAUAUAUCAAACUAUUUUCGCUAACAUUUCCAAAUAUAUUAUUGCUACUCAAAUAUAUAAUAUAAAAUGUCUUUCGAAAUAUCAAUUAUUUGUAAUCACGCGACACUGAUUCGAGCAAUCGCUUAUUCUUGGACAACAAAUGGUAUUGACAUCAGAUAUUAUUUCACAAAAGUGACAAAUUUUCAUUUAACAGAGUUAUAAGUCCUAAGAUUUUUGCACAGCGGUGUAUACGUAACAUAUCAUAGCUGUAACACGCAUCAUUUGCAAUAGACAUAUAUCAGAUCGUCAACGAUGAAUAGUGGUCAGACAAUUGAAAGACGUAUACGAAGAAGUCAGUGACCCCGAUCGUUUAUACACGACCCAAGAUGUCGAGUGAAAAAGCGGUGUUAAUGCAAUUACACAAAUUCGAAGAUUCUAGUUUCGCGUGAUCGUAAUACGAUUUCCGGUACAGAAAAGGGGGUGGACGGGAGCGCAAACAUCGGUUUUCAAUAGGAAUACCGUUUCCAAUGGUGAAUUCAAGCGAGCAGAUAGCAGAGUGAGCGGAGAGGAGGCCGAAAAAUAAAACGGCAAGAAAGGGAUUCAAUUAGAUCCUUAAUGGAGCUUGUAUACGAGACACUUGCAGCCACUUGCGGUUGCUGGACCGAGUUACGACUUGCAAUGACCUGACCAGGAUUCCUCUGAGCCCCCAUCGCUCCUUUCCUCUCUAUCCUACCUUCCGACACCCGCCCGUUGCCUCUUUCUCUUACCAAACUUUGGGCAUCUCUCCAAGAUACCGCAGAAAUCGCAUACCAUGUUAGAAAUUCAGGGCGGUUUGAACUUGGCUCGAUGCACCACUAGCUGAAUUCCGCUGCACAAGCACGUGAGAUUGGCUAACUCCGAGGGAGCGAUCCGGAAUUCGUGUGCACGCUUUUCCUCCAGAAUUUUUCGAUCCGAGGAACUCGAUCGGUGAACGAGGCUGUGGAGUCGUGCGAACCGGAAGGCGUGUUAUCGAUUACCACGUGAGAAGAAACGUGUACAGCUGCGUGUCUCGCCUUUUACCGCUUGUCCAACGAUAUCGAAUCAAUCAGGUGACAAAGUGUAGAAGAUCCGGUACGAACAAGGACCAUGUUCGAGUUGAAUAUUGCGAUUAAUUUCAAGUUACGUAUGGCGUUGGUGUGAAUGAAUCUUACGUUACACGCAAGUGCGAAUAUAGCGAUGAAAAGCGAAGCAAAUGGAAAGAAACGUCUGACUUUUCGAUUUGAACCGAUGUCUGCAGGAUACAGCUUAUAUAUUCGUUUCAACGCACUGAAUAAUGAGAGCUGCGUUACCACGCGAGUAUCGGAAGAGGUUUGUACACGUAACCUAGGGGCAGAUUUACGUAAAACAUUAAUGAUUUCAAAGUUGCAAAUAUCAUGCCUAUACGUAUGCAUAAUACAGUAUGUAAAAACACAGUGAUGCAUUUGUAUAUUAGCAUAUUCGAAAAUGUUAAAAAAAGAAAAAAACAGAGAACUUCGUAAUGCCGGAAAUUUACAUUUUCGAAUAUCGAAAGAUAAAAAGGAUGGAAAAUAAGAUUAACGUUAAGUUGGAACUUAUGGUAUUCGUAAAGAUUGUAAGAUACUUUAUUUUACACUUACCUGCUUUAUAUCUUUUAUUUCUCUUCAGUGACAAACGCACAAAACAUAGGUAACAAAAAUAUUAAAUGACGCGAAGUGAAAAUUCACUUUCAUGCGGAAUACCGUAAGAAAGGGAUUCGAAUCGUGACACGACAUCGAAGAACGUACAUUCGAUGCAAUUGGCGAAAAUAAAUUUUACAAUAAUAA